rnacentral:rRNA from 1 species
UCUAGUUACUAUAGCAAAGAGGAUACACCUGUUCCCAUUCCGAACACAGAAGUUAAGCUAUUUAGCGCCGAUGGUACUUGGUGGGAAGCUGCCUGGGAGAGUAGGUCGUAGCUAGGU